AGUGAACGCUGGCGGUAGGCCUAACACAUGCAAGUCGAACGGCAGCAUAGGAGAGCUUGCUCUCUGGGUGGCGAGUGGCGGACGGGUGAGGAAUACAUCGGAAUCUACUCUGUCGUGGGGGAUAACGUAGGGAAACUUACGCUAAUACCGCAUACGACCUACGGGUGAAAGCAGGGGACCUUCGGGCCUUGCGCGAUUGAAUGAGCCGAUGUCGGAUUAGCUAGUUGGCGGGGUAAAGGCCCACCAAGGCGACGAUCCGUAGCUGGUCUGAGAGGAUGAUCCGCCACACUGGAACUGAGACACGGUCCCGACUCCUACGGGAGGCAGCAGUGGGGAAUAUUGGACAAUGGGCGCAAGCCUGAUCCAGCCAUACCGCGUGGGUGAAAAAGGCCUUCGGGUUGUAAAGCCCUUUUGUUGGGAAAGAAAUCCAGCUGGCUAAUACCCGGUUGGGAUGACGGUACCCAAAGAAUAAGCACCGGCUAACUUCGUGCCAGCCGCCGCGGUAA
rnacentral:rRNA from 1 species